GACGAACGCUGGCGGCGUGCUUAACACAUGCAAGUCGAACGCUGAAGCUCAGCUUUUGUUGGGUGGAUGAGUGGCGAACGGGUGAGUAACACGUGAGUAACCUGCCCCCUUCUUUGGGAUAACGCCCGGAAACGGGUGCUAAUACUGGCUAUUCACUGGUCUUCGCAUGGGGGUUGGUGGAAAGGGUUUUUCUGGUGGGGGAUGGGCUCGCGGCCUAUCAGCUUGUUGGUGGGGUGAUGGCCUACCAAGGCUUUGACGGGUAGCCGGCCUGAGAGGGUGACCGGUAACAUUGGGACUGAGAUACGGCCCAGACUCCUACGGGAGGCAGCAGUGGGGAAUAUUGCACAAUGGGCGAAAGCCUGAUGCAGCGACGCCGCGUGAGGGAUGGAGGCCUUCGGGUUGUGAAACUCUUUCGCUCAUGGUCAAGCCGCAACAAUGGUUGUGGUGAGGGUAGUGGGUAAAGAAGCGCCGGCUAACUACGUG
rnacentral:rRNA from 1 species